rnacentral:rRNA from 1 species
AUGAAGAUUGUGAUAGGAGCUGCCCUUGUUUCUAACAUGAUCUGGCUAAUAUACCUAUGCUUCAUCGACUUUCAGAAGACCUUCCUUUACUUUGGGAUCAGUGCAUGCGUAUGCUUAUUGGUUUCCAACUUCACAUUGGCGGCUGAAGUUUGCUGGGAUAUGUUGCGAGUGGCCGGUUGGAUGGCCAUUUUGUUAGCAUUUAUCGGCAACAUCUGCCGGUACAUGUCAAUGGGGCAGUGGCCGCCAGAGUUGUCUGUUUACACCUUGUCCGUUGCCCUCGCUGCUGUGCUUCCUGAAGUGUUUUGGAUCUUGAAUGUCAUAUGUGUGGAGCAAUACACAGAAGAAGUCGAAAGAUGUGGAUUCGACGCCGUAUUCGUCGACAAGAACUUCUACUGGAAGGUGUCCUGGACUGUAAAUAGUCUCCUUCGGUUGCCAGAGCUUGUCGCCCUUCUCCCCAAGCUUGUCAUCCUUCUCCCCAAGCUUGUCAUCCGGUGCUACAAUUGGGUCAUGACUAGAGCGGGAAGACUCUUCGGAAGGGCAGCGCCGCUUGAAGGACAGUAG